rnacentral:rRNA from 1 species
CGGUGAAUACGUUCCCGGGCCUUGUACACACCGCCCGUCACGCCAUGGGAGCUGGUACUACCCGAAGGGAUUUUACCAACCGUAAGGAGGUAAAUUUCGACGGUAUUACCGGUGACUGGGGUG